rnacentral:rRNA from 1 species
GACAGAGGGUGCAAACGUUGCUCGGAAUUACUGGGCGUAAAGCGCGUGUAGGCUGACCGGAAAGUCGGGCGUGAAAUCCCUGGGCUCAACCCAGGAACUGCACUCGAAACUCCCGGUCUUUGAGUGGUGGAGAGGGAAGUGGAAUUCCUGGUGUAGAGGUGAAAUUCGUAGAUAUCAGGAGGAACAGCCAGUGGCGAAGGCGGCUUCCUGGACACCAACUGACGCUGAGAAGCGAAAGCGUGGGGAGCGAACAGG